ACCGCGGUCAAACAGGUCACCACGUUUUGUGCGAGACGACGGAAAUCAAAAUUUCUUUAAUAAUAACAUUGCACGAAUUGCUACUGAGGACACUCGUUUGUCAAUCUGAUAUUGUUUGAUCAAUGUACACAAGCAGCCGACUAAGAUACUUUCUGAAAAAGUGGCCAGGAAAAAAGACCCUUGGUGUAUACCGGUUUCUACCCUUGUUUUUUGUAGUUGGUGCUGGAUUGGAAUGGGUUAUGAUAAAUGCUAAAGUUGCCCCUGGCGGAGAAACAUUUUAUGAUGUGUAUAGAAGAAAACAAGCUGAAAGUUUAGCAGAGGCAGAAGACAAAGCCAGACAAGAAGAGCAAUAAAAACAUUCAAAACUUGUACAUUAUAUUUCAAGUGAGGAAUUCAUCAGUACACUAUUAAAAAUGCCUGCAGGAGUGCCAUGGCCUCCCUAUCUGAGGUUUUUAGCUGCUGGUCUAUUAUCAAUGCUUGCCGGAGCCCAAAUGGUUCACUAUAUAUAUAAACCAAACUUACAACCUGUGAUGGCAGAGGAAGAUAUAGCUGAAGAAACCAUGAGAAAUGGGGAUAAACAGAAUAAUAUUGAUAUUUCUACAAACCAAGUUUCUUGAUUAGUGUUUUAACUGUUUUCACAGGAAGCUUUAGUAUUUGCUUAAAAUUUGUUUUAAGUAUUACAAUUUUCACAUAUCACAUUAAGUGAUGCUGUUUGUUUGCAUGCAUAUUGGGAGUGAAGUUUACCAUGCAUAAAACCAUACCAAAUCAGGAAUGUAAUGACAUAUUCAAUAUUGCCAUAUAUGAUUUAGAAUUUGUAUACAAUCUAUGAUUAUUACUUGUAAAAAUGAACAGAAAAUGCAUCUUAAAUUUCGCACAUGUUAUUGUAAAUUCAACUUUCUCUAAUUCAGUUUGUUUGAUUUAAAGACAUGGUAUGAAAUAAAAACAAUCUGUUCA